AGCACUUGUGUGUGUUCUGUCUGAUUUAUGGACACAGACUUACAGACAGGUGAAAAAAAAUCCUUUUCACCAACCUAAAACUCACUGUUCAGUGUAAGUUUUGAUACAGAUAUGGACCAAUAUU
rnacentral:snoRNA from 1 species